UUACGUUGUACACGUCUAUGGGCUCCAGU
rnacentral:sRNA from 1 species